ACAAAUCUUCGGGGCAGGGUGCGAUUCCCUACCGGUGGUAAAGUCCGCGACCCUGUCUGCAGACGCAGGCAGGCUGAUAUGGUGCGAUUCCAUAACCGACAGUAAAGUCUGGAUGAGAGAAGAUCUAU
rnacentral:ncRNA from 2 species